rnacentral:rRNA from 1 species
AUUGAACGCUGGCGGCAGGCUUAACACAUGCAAGUCGAACGAGUGGCGGACGGGUGAGUAAUGCUUGGGAAUCUGGCUUAUGUAGGGGGAUAACUACGGGACACUGUAGCUAAUACCGCGUACCAUAGGAUGAGCCCAGGUGGGAUUAGGUAGUUGGUUAGGUAAAGGCUCACCAAGCCGACGAUCUGUAGCUGGUCUGAGAGGAUGACCAGCCACCCGAGGACUGAGACACGGCCCAGCCUCCAACGGGAGGCAGGAGUGGGGAAUAUUGUGCAAUGGGGGCAACCUGACGCAGCCAAGCCGCGUGACUGAAGAAGGCCUUCGGGUUUUGAAGUUCUUUCGGUAGCGAGGCGUUAACUACAGAAGAAGCACCGGCUAACUCCGUGCCAGCAGCCGCGGUAAUAC